CGAGAAAGCCCGCAAGGGUGAGUAAAGCGGCGCACGGGUGCGUAACACGUGGGUAAUCUGCCCUAGAGUCCGGAAUAACUCGCCGAAAGGCGUGCUAAUGCCGGAUGAGACCACGGGAGCCUCGGCUCCUGCGGGAAAAGGUGGCCUCUGUAUACAAGCUAUCGCUCUAGGAUGAGCCCGCGGCCCAUCAGCUCGUUGGCGGGGUAAUGGCCCACCAAGGCUACGACGGGUAGCUGGUCUGAGAGGACGAUCAGCCACACUGGAACUGAGACACGGUCCAGACUCCUACGGGAGGCAGCAGUGGGGAAUCUUGCGCAAUGGGCGAAAGCCUGACGCAGCAACGCCGCGUGUGUGAUGAAGGUCUUCGGAUCGUAAAGCACUGUCGCGAGGGACG
rnacentral:rRNA from 1 species